rnacentral:tRNA from 1 species
UGUGGUGUGGCUCAGCGGAAGCAGCGCCCGGCUUUGGCACGGGAGGUCGCCGGUUCGAAUCCGGUCACCACAA